GAAUUCGCCCUUAGAGUUUGAUCCUGGCUCAGGAUGAACGCUGGCGGCGUGCUUAACACAUGCAAGUCGAACGGGAAACCUUUUAUUGAAGCUUCGGCAGAUUUAGCUGGUUUCUAGUGGCGGACGGGUGAGUAACGCGUGGGUAACCUGCCUUAUACAGGGGGAUAACAACCAGAAAUGGUUGCUAAUACCGCAUAAGCGCACAGGACCGCAUGGUCUAGUGUGAAAAACUCCGGUGGUAUAAGAUGGACCCGCGUUGGAUUAGCUAGUUGGCAGGGUAACGGCCUACCAAGGCGACGAUCCAUAGCCGGCCUGAGAGGGUGAACGGCCACAUUGGGACUGAGACACGGCCCAGACUCCUACGGGAGGCAGCAGUGGGGAAUAUUGCACAAUGGGGGAAACCCUGAUGCAGCGACGCCGCGUGAAGGAAGAAGUAUCUCGGUAUGUAAACUUCUAUCAGCAGGGAAGAUAGUGACGGUACCUGACUAAGAAGCCCCGGCUAACUACGUGCCAGCAGCCGCGGUAAUACGUAGGGGGCAAGCGUUAUCCGGAUUUACUGGGUGUAAAGGGAGCGUAGACGGACUGGCAAGUCUGAUGUGAAAGGCGGGGGCUCAACCCCUGGACUGCAUUGGAAACUGUUAGUCUUGAGUGCCGGAGAGGUAAGCGGAAUUCCUAGUGUAGCGGUGAAAUGCGUAGAUAUUAGGAGGAACACCAGUGGCGAAGGCGGCCUACUGGGCUUUAACUGACGCUGAGGCACGAAAGUGUGGGUAGCAAACAGGAUUAGAUACCCUGGUAGUCCACACUGUAAACGAUGAUUUACUAGGUGUGGGGGGUUUAACCCCCUCCGUGCCGGAGUUUAACACAAAUAAGUAAUCCACCUGGGGAGUACGACCGCAAGGUUGAAACUCAAAGGAAUUGACGGGGGCCCGCACAAGCAGUGGAGUAUGUGGUUUAAUUCGACGCAACGCGAAGAACCUUACCAGGUCUUGACAUCCAACUAACGAAGCAGAGAUGCAUUAGGUGCCCUUCGGGGAAAGUUGAGACAGGUGGUGCAUGGUUGUCGUCAGCUCGUGUCGUGAGAUGUUGGGUUAAGUCCCGCAACGAGCGCAACCCUUGUGAUUAGUUGCUACGCAAGAGCACUCUAAUCAGACUGCCGUUGACAAAACGGAGGAAGGUGGGGACGACGUCAAAUCAUCAUGCCCUUUAUGACCUGGGCUACACACGUACUACAAUGGUCGUUAACAGAGGGAAGCAAUACCGCGAGGUGGAGCAAAACCCUAAAAACGGUCUCAGUUCAGAUUGUAGGCUGCAACUCGCCUACAUGAAGUUGGAAUUGCUAGUAAUCGCGGAUCAGCAUGCCGCGGUGAAUACGUUCCCGGGCCUUGUACACACCGCCCGUCA
rnacentral:rRNA from 1 species